CGAGAAAGAACCAACAGGGAUUGCCUUAGUAACGGCGAGUGAAGCGGCAAAAGCUCAGAUUUGAAAUCUGGCGUCAUUUUGGCGUCCGAGUUGUAAUCUGUAGAGGAGUAUUCGAGUGUGGAUUUGGCUUAAGUUCCUUGGAACAGGACGUCAUAGAGGGUGAGAACCCCGUUAACGGCCUACGUCUUAUGCUCAUGUGAAUCUCCUUCAACGAGUCGAGUUGUUUGGGAAUGCAGCUCUAAAUGGGUGGUAAAUUCCAUCUAAAGCUAAAUACUGGCAAGAGACCGAUAGCGCACAAGUAGAGUGAUCGAAAGAUGAAAAGAACUCUGAACAGAGAGUUAAAUAGUACGUGAAAUUGUUGAAAGGGAAGCACUUGCUACCAGACACGCCUGUAGUUGAUCAACCUCCAUUCUUGGUGGUGCACUCGGCUAUAGGUGGGUCAGCAUCAGUUACAACGGUGGGAUAAAGACUUUGGGAAUGUAGCUUCUUUCGAGAAGUGUUAUAGCCCUUGGUGUAAUACCAUCUGAUGUGACUGAGGCCCGCGCUUCGGCGAGGAUGCUGGCAUAAUGGUCGUAAGUGACCCGUCUUGAAACACGGACCAAGGAGUCUAACAUCUAUGCGAGUGUUUGGGCGUCAAAACCCUUACGCGGAAUGAAAGUGAAUGAAGGUGGGAACCGCAAGGUGCACCAUCGACCGAUCCUGAUGUUUUCGGAUGGAUUUGAGUAGGAGCAUAGCUGUUGGGACCCGAAAGAUGGUGAACUAUGCCUGAAUAGGGUGAAGCCAGAGGAAACUCUGGUGGAGGCUCGCAGCGGUUCUGACGUGCAAAUCGAUCGUCAAAUUUGGGUAUAGGGGCGA
rnacentral:rRNA from 1 species